rnacentral:tRNA from 1 species
AGUUAAUUAGCUUAAUAAAAGCUUAUAUUUUGAAAGUAUAAGAAAAAGGUUGACCCCUUUAUUAACUU